AGUAUCAACAAUUUGUCAGCUGACACUUUAUUCGUAAAUCGUAAUUGACGUAUGUUGACGAAGUUGAGGUCUCUUACUAUAUUUAUCAAUUAAUAUAUUUUGUUUAAUUUUAUUAUACUGCAUUGAAAGCUAGUCUUAAGAGAUAUUUUAGUGAUUUAACAGAUAACCAACCAUGAUUUCUGUGCUCUGAUUAGAUUCAUCUGGGUGUCAUCGUAAGAAAAUGGCGAUGGAGAAUGAGGAUGGAGGUGGUGGAGGUAGUUGGUGGGGAUCUUGGAUGAAUGCUGCUAAAGCAAAGUCUGCGGAAGUGUAUGAGUUUGUGAAGCAUGACUUAGACGAGUUGUCCUCGGCUGUUAAAACUGAAGCUUGUGCUGUUCUCAGUUCCACAUCCAAUGCUGUCAAAGAAACUCUUCAGCUUGACAAACCAGAGUCAACAGCAAACACAGUGAAGCGCUCAGUGUCUUCAUUCUUCGACCAGAUGGGCAGUGCUCUCAGCCCUCCACCAGAAGAUGGGGAUGAAGAGGCGAUUAUUAUUCAAGGCAGCGAUCCGGUAUUCCUGAACAGACUUCAGACGAGAAUAUAUACACUAGCCAGUGAGCCUAGGACCUUCACUGAGGACAUUUCUCCGGAGCAGAUGAGUCAGUUUGAGGCUUGGCUGAGUGUCCUGGAGGAGGACAAAAUGACCACUUACAAACUGACAAACCAUCUAACGUCUUGUCCAGCUCUGCAGGAGAACUACACAGCAUUGGUCCCCCAUCAGGUGUCACAUGCUCAAUUUUGGCAACGCUACUUGUUCCGCAAAGGUUUGAUUGAAGACGAAGAAGCAGCGAGAGAACGAAAAGAAGAGCGGGAGAAACAAGUAGCAGAAGCGUUUCAGUGGGAUAAAGUGGACAAGUUGAGUGACCAAAUAGAGAUAUCAGAAGAGGAACAGAUCAGACUCCUGGCAGAGUAUGAGGCUGAGCGAAAACAGUUGAAGGAAAGAAAGCGUGAAGAGAAGGAUGCGGACAGUUCAGUGUUAAUAGAACGUGAGAAGAAGGACAUGGUUAUCGUAUCAACCAGUGCAACCACUUCUGUCUCUACAGCCUCCACCACAGACAAAGUUUAGUCACAAAGCAUGCAGUGCAACAGAUUUGAUAACCAGUGCUAACAAUCAUGAUCCAUCUCAGUAAUGUGGAACUAUUUGAACAAUUAGAAAAACAACAUAGUGACAGAAACACUUUGGUGAUCUACAGUGGAUUAAAGAUACAAAAGAGCAACGAUGAUGACUGGGAGAGAGAGUUUGACCUCGAAGAGGCAGACAUUGGAGACGACAAAAAGUGAACUGCUGUUGGCAACACUGCCACAAUAGUCCUGAGUAGUCAACAACCACGUGGGUGGCCCUUUGUCGUCGGGUGUCCAUUCACAAACGUGAUCACCAUGUUGUUAUCUCUUUAAUUUAACUGUUAUCUGCAUAUAUUUUACAGUGUUUUAUAUGUUUAUUGUGAUUGUUAUGGUAUGUAAAUAUUUUAUAUUAUAGGCAAGGCCUCAGAACAGAUAGAUUAGACAGAUGAACAUCAAACAUAUUGCUAAGUUUUUUUUUCUGAUUAUAACAGGUAAUUUUGAUAGAAUAUAUUUAUACAGCUAUGUAAAAAAAAUUAUUAGUCCCCAUGUAAAUUUUCCUUCCCAGAGCGAAAAGUACGUUUAAGUCCAUAAAAUGUCAAGACACUUCAUGUUUGAUGUUCACAUAAGCUUUGAAGUUGUUUCUUUGUUAUGUUUCCUCUUUGUUAAUCUAACUAAUGUAAAUAGAAAUUUCAUUUAUCCUACUACAAUCUUCUACAUCAGGUUAUACCUCUUAUUUAUAUAUUAUAUACUGGUAUUGUAUUGUUCUUCUAUGGGGGUUUGUAAGAGCUUUUAAUAUUAACUGGUGUUGCUAUAAUUUACUAUAGUUAUUAGCAGUUUAUUAAAAUUGUAAAGGAUAUAACAGAAUUUUGUCAAAAUGCUAUAAAAACCAUAGACCCAUUGUUGGUGCAUAGUAGUUUAUUUAGUUAAUAGGUUUUAAAAUACAAAUUAAUAUUAACGCUUUUAGUUUACUUUGAUUUCGCCAUUGACAGCUAUCACUUGGUUUUCUGUUUGUGUGGAAAUAAAUCCAAGAGUUUGAAUAGUA